rnacentral:pre_miRNA from 1 species
AGUGGGGUUGCUGGAUCAUUUGGUAGUUCUAAUUUUAAUCUUUUGAGGAAUUUCUUGACUAUUUUCCAAAAUGAGUAUACUAGUUUACAUUCCCACCAAUAGU